AUUGAACGCUGGCGGCAGGCCUAACACAUGCAAGUCGAACGGUAACAGGAAACAGCUUGCUGUUUCGCUGACGAGUGGCGGACGGGUGAGUAAUGUCUGGGAAACUGCCUGAUGGAGGGGGAUAACAACUGGAAACGGUAGCUAAUACCGCAUAACGUCGCAAGACCAAAGAGGGGGACCUUCGGGCCUCUUGCCAUCGGAUGUGCCCAGAUGGGAUUAGCUAGUAGGUGGGGUAACGGCUCACCUAGGCGACGAUCCCUAGCUGGUCUGAGAGGAUGACCAGCCACACUGGAACUGAGACACGGUCCAGACUCCUACGGGAGGCAGCAGUGGGGAAUAUUGCACAAUGGGCGCAAGCCUGAUGCAGCCAUGCCGCGUGUAUGAAGAAGGCCUUCGGGUUGUAAAGUACUUUCAGCGGGGAGGAAGGGAGUAAAGUUAAUACCUUUACUCAUUGACGUUACCCGCAGAAGAAGCACCGGCUAACUCCGUG
rnacentral:rRNA from 1 species